rnacentral:lncRNA from 1 species
AGACAAGUCACUCCCUUGUUCAAAAUCAAAUCGGGCUACACUCAUUAAUUAAAAAUAUGUAGAUGGUAUUUUUAUGUAAAAUACUGAAUACAUGAAAUUUAUAAUAAAUAAAUAUUAGCCUUCCUCUUACCUCACUUGUGAGUUGUAUCGAAUAGAUGCUCCGGCUCGUAGCUGAUCUAUGAUUGCUCUAUGAGUAUGAUUGUAAAUGUUUCUUUCUCUCUCUUUCUCUCUAGCCACUGUUCUUCAUCAUAAUAUGCAAAAUACUACAGUAUCAAAGUACAAAAUUUAAGUGAGUCCCUAGCUCUCCUUAUUUAUAUAAACAAAUAUAAAUUAUGAUUGAAAUAUAACAAUUAU